rnacentral:tRNA from 1 species
UUAGCUCAGUCGGUUAGAGCAUCGUGCUAAUAACGCGAGGGUCGCAGGUUCGAGCCCUGCAUCGACCAU